rnacentral:tRNA from 1 species
ACCGAAAUCUCAGUUGGGAGAGCGUUAGAGUAUAGAUCGAAAAGUCCCUGGUUCGAUUCCAGGUUCCGGCA